AUUGAACGCUGGCGGCAGGCUUAACACAUGCAAGUCGAGCGGUAGCACAGGGGAGCUUGCUCCCUGGGUGACGAGCGGCGGACGGGUGAGUAAUGUCUGGGAAACUGCCUGAUGGAGGGGGAUAACUACUGGAAACGGUAGCUAAUACUGCAUAACGUCGCAAGACCAAAGAGGGGGACCUUCGGGCCUCUUGCCAUCAGAUGUGCCCAGAUGGGAUUAGCUAGUAGGUGGGGUAAUGGCUCACCUAGGCGACGAUCCCUAGCUGGUCUGAGAGGAUGACCAGCCACACGGGAACUGAGACACGGUCCAGACUCCUACGGGAGGCAGCAGUGGGGAAUAUUGCACAAUGGGCGCAAGCCUGAUGCAGCCAUGCCGCGUGUGUGAAGAAGGCCUUCGGGUUGUAAAGCACUUUCAGCGGGGAGGAAGGUGGUGAGCUUAAUACGUUCAUCAAUUGACGUUACUCGCAGAAGAAGCACCGGCUAACUCCGUG
rnacentral:rRNA from 1 species